rfam:Stegodyphus mimosarum contig119779, whole genome shotgun sequence.
GCCUUUGUGGUGUAGUAGUCAGCACGCUCGGUCCGUAUUCGAGAGGUCCGUGGUUCGACUCCCGGCGAGGGCA